GACGAACGCUGGCGGCGUGCCUAAUACAUGCAAGUAGAACGCACAGUUUAUACCGUAGCUUGCUACACCAUAGACUGUGAGUUGCGAACGGGUGAGUAACGCGUAGGUAACCUGCCUGGUAGCGGGGGAUAACUAUUGGAAACGAUAGCUAAUACCGCAUAAUAUUAAUUAUUGCAUGAUAAUUAAUUGAAAGGUGCAAUUGCACCACUACCAGAUGGACCUGCGUUGUAUUAGCUAGUAGGUGAGGUAACGGCUCACCUAGGCGACGAUACAUAGCCGACCUGAGAGGGUGAUCGGCCACACUGGGACUGAGACACGGCCCAGACUCCUACGGGAGGCAGCAGUAGGGAAUCUUCGGCAAUGGACGAAAGUCUGACCGAGCAACGCCGCGUGAGUGAAGAAGGUUUUCGGAUCGUAAAGCUCUGUUGUAAGAGAAGAACGGGUGUGAGAGUGGAAAGUUCAUACUGUGACGGUAUCUUACCAGAAAGGGACGGCUAACUACGUG
rnacentral:rRNA from 1 species